GACGAACGCUGGCGGCGUGCUUAACACAUGCAAGUCGAACGGAAAGGCCCUGCUUUUGUGGGGUGCUCGAGUGGCGAACGGGUGAGUAACACGUGAGUAACCUGCCCUUUACUUUGGGAUAACUUCAGGAAACUGGGGCUAAUACCGGAUAGGAGCUCCUGCUGCAUGGUGUGGGUUGGAAAGUUUCGGCGGUUGGGGAUGGACUCGCGGCUUAUCAGCUUGUUGGUGGGGUAGUGGCUUACCAAGGCUUUGACGGGUAGCCGGCCUGAGAGGGUGACCGGCCACAGUGGGAAUGAGAUACGGCCCAGACUCGUACGGGAGGCAGCAGUGGGGAAUAUUGCACAAUGGGCGGAAGCCUGAUGAAGAAACGCCGCGUGCGGGAUGACGGCCUUCGGGUUGUAAACAGCUUUAGACUGUGACGAAGCGUGAGUGACGGUAAUGGGUAAAGAAGCACCGGCUAACUACGUG
rnacentral:rRNA from 1 species